rnacentral:tRNA from 1 species
UGGGGUAUAGCCAAGCUGGUAAGGCGGGAGCCUUUGAAGCUCUGAUUCUUUCCCUGGUUCAAAUCCAGGUACCCCAA